rnacentral:ncRNA from 1 species
UCCUGACAGUCGCAUCCCGCGAUUGACACUAGCCACGACAGGAGACACAUAUG